UAGUUUCAUAAACAGCUUGAAUGUUCAUCAUGAAGUUUAGUUUCAUAAACAGCUUGAAUAUUCAUCUUUUCUAUGUUCUCUCACAAUUCAGAAAGUCAUUAGUAUGGUAGGUUCUUCAUUCUGAUGGUUCUUGUGGUUCAUGAGUCCUGGUGCAGCUCAAUAUAAAUUAUUUACCAUAUUUAAGAAGGUAUUAGGUAGAACACGUAUAGAAAGAAUCUAUAAUGUCUUAUAUGUCAACAUACGAACAAAAGGAUUGGAUGUAACUCAAUCAAACUGGUUUCUGGUUGUGCAUCAUUUAACUCUAGGCUUCAUCUUUUUGUCAUUUCAAUUAAGAUGGGAAACAUGACUUGUUUUUAAAAUCCAUUUGAGGUCAAAAAUAUCUUCCUCGUAGGUAAGAAAUUGAGUUGUCAACAUCCUUCAAGCAUACGAUGGAUAUGAUCUAGGUGAUGUGUGUUGACAGGUUUUGUUUGUUCAGAAAAUCCCUAAUGCAAAGAACCAAGAAUUUACAACCUUGUCACUUCCUCCAUAAAAAUGGAUAGUAGAUAGUUUACAAAAAAAUGCACAUAAGGUUUUGAAACACAAUUAAAUGAGAUAAACCAACCCGUAUACAACUGGUGAAAUUUGAUGGCAUUUUGAGAACAAUGUCUAAAGAUUAUGUAUGCCAAUCAUUAAAAAAAGGGUUAUUUGGGAUACAAUCAUUAUUUUUGUGUGUGUACGAGUGUAUUGGUGGGAUCUUUUAUUUUAUUUAUUUUACUUUUUUGGGGGGUGGGGGGGGGGGGGGGGGAAAGGGGGGAAAAUCCUCAAUUUUUGGGUACCAUCAAUAAUUUGAUUGCUAUUUGCAGCUCGAAGAAUUGAACACUGGUCAAGGAUUCAAACGAAAGGCAAACAUCAAUGGUAAAUAUAUUGACGCAAAUAGGAAAAUGGAUAUUUCUGAAAAUCCCAUAUGAGCAAGAACAAGUCUUGCUAAUUGGAAGGAUCCAUUUUCGUUCUAUAGCAAUGUUCUAGACUAGUAGGGGUGCAUUGGACUGCAGAAUAGAGCAGCUAUUGAUUUAGAAGGUAACUGCCUCUGAAAUUUAAUCUUCGAACUUUUGGGCUGUUAAUUAGUUUGAUCUUCUCCGGAGAAGGGUACCAGCAGGGAAAUUUGGAAGAAGCCACUCAUGUACUUGGUAAUCCCCAGCAUUAUUUUCAUUUUACUAAGGAUUUAGAAAAAACAAAAAGAAAUUAACGCUGCAUAUUGAAGGUCUUUGAUCUUUUUAUCUCUAUACUAGUUUCAGACCCACUAGAAACAUCUACCAUCAAUGUUUGCUCCAAAGAAUUUUAUGGUGAAGGAUGUGGUGUGUGACGACAAGUUUGUUUGAUUUUUAUGCGAAGAGUGAGAUUUGGAGGCAUCAGCGUAAUAAAUUCUAUUACUUCGGGUGCUAUGAUGUUUGAGUUCAUUACGGAAGGUAGUUCAUUAUAUAGUUAUGGUGGUGUAUGUGGUGGUAGUUUUAGUAGUGUGGAAGUGGUGGGUGAAAUAUACACACACAAAUAUUUCUCUUGGGAAUAGGGGAGGAUGAUGAUAUGGCUACAAUAUGUGUCAGUAAUCAAUAUUAGAAAGUUAACUGCUAGAAUGGACAAAACUGUCUAAAAGGACUAUUUGUGCACAAAACCAAUAGAUUGAGGGGUCAGAGCAAAAACAGAAGAAUCAAGACUAGAAGUGCACAGGGGCCAAAUGUUAGGAAUCAGUUGUGCCAUUUUCCUGAAAAAUUAUGGAGAAAAGUAGAGAAAUUUCAAAAAUAAAAUAAAAUAAACAAGCAUCACGAAGAUUUGCUAUUUCACUAACCUGGCAAAGAUAAGGUCGAAAAUCUCUUGGAUUCUCAUUAACAAGAGCUUGAAAGUUCUCCAAGGCCUCCUCAAAGUCUCCCUGCAAAUGAAAAAUAAAUUGGAUUCCCUGAAUACAGAAGUAUGGUAAUCAACAGUCCAGAAUGAUUUCAAAAUUCAAUCAUUUGAUAACCAGAGUGGAGUCUAAUCCUAAACUAUCGAUAUCAAAACAGCAACAAUAAAUCAAAACCAUAAUAAAUAAUGAGUAAGAAAAUGAUUUCUAUUUUUUAUUACCCUCCCUCCCUCUUUCUUUUUUGCUUUUUUCUUUCCUGGUUGGGGAGGGCAAAAGUGGGGAAGGUUGGAUGUUCUUGGAUUUAGUAUUUUUCCAAAUCUUGAUGUCUAUGUUCCACAAAAAGGAUAAAUAAAGCCAAUGUGGUUUAGAAACCUAAAUUCACCAUCAAGCAGCCAAAAUUAACUGACAAAGAUGAUCAAACCGUUACCUUUACAAUAUGCAUCUGCGCAAUCAAUAUUCUUAUGUUUCGCUCUUCAUUGACUCUUUUUUCAAGAUGAGCAACUUCCAAAGCCCUUUCCAACAUCUCAAAAACAGCUGGGCCUUCUUGGUUCUUAUGCAUUACCAUUGCCAUACCCUACAAAGAAAGGAAAGCAGUAAUGGUCACGCAGUAAAGUUUCACUAUUUCAUUAGCAGUAAUGGAUAAUGUGAGAGAGUAUAUCAAUCAUGAAGUUGAACUCUUAAAGUGCAAAUUUCAAAAUUUAGAUGAUCUUAAGUGAUGGAAUAACCCAUGCAGUGUCAUUAAAUUUUCACCACGCCAUAACGCAAGCAAGCAGGGGUAUUUAGCAUAUGUGCACACAUGAUAAUAUAGUACAUGGGAAUGCAUAUUGAAAACCCAAUACUCUUUAAGCUAUAUCGGAAAGAAAAUUCAUUUCAUUUUUGACAGCAUAUAACUUCAAAUCAAAAAUUAAGAAAACAUGUUAGGUCGUAUCCCAACAUGACUUCAUAGGAAAGAACAUCAAUUAGCCACACGUGGGAUCAUACAUCACCUCUUAAUCUGUAAAAAGCACGUAUAUAAUCCAAAAAAUCACCAUGACAGCAGAAAAUAAAUUGCAAAAAUGUCCUCGGACAAAUUUAGGAUGAAAAAGGGGUUGAACUACAGUUUCAAGCAUUUAUUUGACCAAGAAGAAGUCACUAUCCAGCAACUCAGAGCUAGCGAGUUAGCACAACAACUUAGUGUCUUGUUUUCUUUGCUGCUUCUUUUUGACCUUUUUUUACAUAAGGUUCGCCUAACUUGCCUUAUAGAGAAGAACUACUAGCUUCAUUCAUGAGUCAGUGCAUCGUUUCUAAUUGAAACAACAGCAAGUGGCAGAAAUCAGUGUCAGUGCUAAUUUUACUGUAAAAAAAUUGUUGAUUGAAGAGGGUAAUGAGUGGGACAUAAACAUAAAAGGAUUGUGACGAGAAACCUAACACCUGCAAAGGUCAAAAAAAUUUUAUUCAUGGAUACCACUUCAUAUCCAAUUUCUUUUUACAGGCAAGGUUCAACACAGCUGCGACCUUGAUUAUAUUAAAAUGAACACCAUGUAAGAAAUUACCCUUCAGAACCAUUUGGGCAACUUCCAUAUGUAUCCACUCAUGAGAAGUCAAAAUAAUUAGACUAUAAAAAUCACCGAUCUUCCUUAAUUUUUCAUUCAUCUCCAAAUAAACUAAAUAACCCCUUUCCCUCUUUUGCCCAAGCAAGGUUAAGCAAUCACAGUCAUCGAACUCAGGCAAGGAAAAGAUAAAUUCUGCCCUUUGAACUCAUUGUUUUGCAACGUACAUAAACACAAGAAUUUUUAAUUUCACGAGCCUAGAGACUAGAUAAUGUAGGAAGCAAGCAUCUCUCCUUAGAUAACCAUAUAAAUAUACCACAGUAUCCAUAUAAAUAUACCACAGUAUUUCAAGCUUACAAGUUAUAAUAGUCAUAGCUUUUGUUUAACAAGUGAGUUGACAAGGGAAAAAAAAUUAGUCACACAAACCUCUUUAAUGGAAACUUGUCAAUUUAAACAAACAAGAAGUUCUUCCAUAUUCUGGGAAGUAUUUCCCAUUCAACUAUUCCCCGGGGUUGGGACCCAUGUGCAUAUGUCAUUCUUCAUAUACCUCUACUGGUUUGAAGGAGGUAAGUUAAUCAAUCAAAUAAUAGAAUCCUCCUUCCAAUGGUAUCCACAAUAGUACUGUGCAAAAGUGUAUCUCAUCAAGCUGUGCAAGGCUGAAGGCAUUGCGUAACUUGCAUUGAAAUCAAGCCAAGUGAUACUACUUUAUGUAAAUGUGCUUUUACAAUCAAGCACAGCUAUGGUAGAUGUAUUCAUCAUAUGCGUGCAUAAGGGAUACAGUAAAUAUUCAGUUUCUGCAAGCAACAAUUAGAAGCACAGAAGCAUGCCCAAAAUAAGAUGGCAGAAUAAUAGUCAAGCAGAAUGCAAAAGAGAAAAGGAACAAAAAUAGUCUGGGAUGUAGAAAUCUAGAAAAAGUGGAAAUACAUUGAUUUCACAUCUGAAGUCGGUUGGGACAUAUUAAAUCAUAAUGUAAAAUCAGGCCAGACUAGGUAGGUAGAGUUAUCAGAUACCAAAACUAGAUCCUUUAAGCCAUAGACAAUCACAAAUAAUAUCACGUUCAGAAACUAUAUAAUUGAAUAACAUAUACAUCAGAGAGUUGUACUAUUAAACAAUUAUAUCUUCUUUUCUCCUUCAAACCCAGGGAAGUGAAACUUCAGCUGAAGGAUACCUUGUAUCUCUAAAAGAUAAGUGCCCUCAUAAUUCAUAUGGUCUUGGUUUUUCUAACACCGUGUACAGGGAAUAAAUCAUGGAACAAGUCUUUGAACGCGAAAUUUUAUAAGGUCUUUAUCACUAGUCAAAAUGAAAAAAAAGGAGCAGCUCUAAUGUUUUUGUUUAAAAUGCCUAUUUUAAACGUCAAAUGUGAAUUAGCCGCGUUAAAGAUGGCGUUCUUCUCCAUUUCAUAGCCUCCACCACAUGUUACCCGCUCCUCCCAUCUGUCCUAUGACUUGGGUUUCAAUUAACUUAGAUAUAAAAUUUACAGGUAAAUUAUUAAUCAUGUAUGGACGGGUCAAGAAUUUCCGUAUCUUCAGAAAAACUGAAUAGACAAAUAUGUAAUUAGAUGAAAGCACAUAACAUAAAAGGGGUAGAAAUAUCAUACAUGCAAAGCUCUAAGUAGGAGAGGCCUCUGCUUGAGUAUGUUUUUGAACAAGCUCUUGGCCAUACCCAAAUUCCCCAACAUUUCGUAACAAAGAGCCUGCAGAAGCCUCCACUCCAUUUCACUAGGUUCAAUUUUAAUCAAUCUCUCCACAUAUUCCAAAGCCUCCUUAGUCUUUCCACUCCUCAUCUUUACAUCAACGACCAUCUUCAGAGCCACAACAUCUUUUGGAUUUUCUUGCACAAGCUUCACAAACAUCACCUCUUCUUCAGUUGCACUGCUUUUCCCAUCCCAGUCCUCUCUUUUUCGAUCAAGACGCUCGGUUUCUUGAACAGGCUGUGCCAGUAUAGGCCUAGAUUUUAAAGAGCCCACGAUAACAAGUGAUCCCAGUAAUACUGUUGCAAUAUUUUUAACAAGAAUCUUGGAAAUAUCGUUCUGGGGUGGUAAUAAACAGCUAAAAAGAGAAAAUUUUGUUGUGGGUGCUGGUGAAAUGUGGAGUUUUUUGGUUACUAUGGGAUGGAAUUUGGAUCUUUUGGAGUUGUGAAAAAGAGGAAGGGAGCCGCGAGUAUGGAUUUUGAAGGGAUUUUGUGGACAUAGAAAAUUGGCAGCGGGAUCAAGGUUACAAGAAGCAGAGAGUGAGGUACUGUGGAGAGAUGAAACAGCCAUUAUCGAACCAGUAACCGAGGAACGAAGCGCGGUGAGGUUUUGUGAUCACAGGGUUUAGGUUUUCUUUUUUUUCUUUUUUUAGAGGCCCAAACCUUUGCCUCCAUUAUGAAAUACCCCUAUCCUUUCCUUUUAGUGAAAAAGCUCCUCCCUAAAUGGUCCAAACCUUUUGGAAAGCCUCCUACUGUCCAAUUCGAUUAGUUUAGACCUUAAAUGCACUAAAGAGACCAAAAUUAAAAAAUGGAAAAAUUGUAACUACAGUCUCAAACUUUUUAAUUUAUUGUAGAUUACAUCCAAACUUUUUAUUUGUAUCACACUGUCCAAACUUUUUAUUUCGUUGCAGCAAAAGUUAUUUUUGAAAAAUGGAAAAUUUGAUUGAUUCCAUCUGUUCUACCAUUAGUUGAUCGGAGAAGUUAUUUUUGACCAUUUUUAGUCAAUUCUAAAAGAGUAAAAUGAUAAAUUUACAUUUUCUUUAAAUAAAAUAAUUAAAAAAAAAAAAGGAGAAUCUAGUGUGACUGGGGAAGACGAUGAAGUUUCGAUGGGUGAGAUGAUUGGGUUUAUAUAAAUUGAAAGGUUUGGAACAAUAAAUGCAAUUUUUUUUUUAAAAAAAAGUUUUGGCUAUCUUCAAUGAUUUAUCGCAUAAACUAAUUGAAUUAGACAAUAGAGGACUUUUGAACAUGUUUGGACAAUUUUCUAUAAUAUUUCGUUCAGCUAGAAGAACUUCCAAAGGGAGCUAAUCAAAAUGACAUCCUUGUGAGACUUUUUUACAAGACGCGCAAAUCUCGCUAAAUGGGCAAUUAUUCUUUUACUCGAGUUUUUUAUAUAUACCCCUUGUUUGAACCCCAUUUUAGGAGGGAGAAUGAAUUUUUGAAUAGUGUAUUGAUGAAAAAUGUGUGGUUAAAAAAUAAGAAUUUUUUAUUUAUUUAUGUAUAAUGUUAUUUUAUUGAAGAAUGUGUGGUUAAAAUAAUGUUAAAAUACUGUUGAAAAAUAAUUUUUUUUUUCAAAAGAAUGGGAUUCAAACAAGGGUAUGGUAUAUGUUUGAAAAAAUAGGUGUUAGCCUAUUUUCACUAUUCCUAAUAUUUUGCGUUUAAAAAAUUCUAAUAUUUGUUUAUGUCAGAAUAAUAAAUUUUGUUGGGAUAAAAUUUGCCUUUUAUGAAUGUAAAUUGCUUCUAAAACUAAUGCAAUAAAUAAUACUCAGCACUAAUUAAAAUUAUCGAUUCUAUUUGAAUAAUUUGUGUGAAAAUGAUGUUGGCAGUACAAUUAUAUUACUAAUUUGACAAUGAUUUAGCCAAUGCUUAUGGUAGUAUGUACAUAACAUGAAUAAUAACGAAAUCGCAUUUAACCCCUAUUUGAUUUAUUUAAAAAGUUUAAUAAAAAUUUAAGUCAAACUCGAAAAUUAAUUUUAACCACACAUUUGAUGAAUCCAUGACUUUUCAACCAUAAAUAUCAUCAACUUCAAUCAAAAUUUUGUUUUUUUUUUUUUUUUAACAUAUCCAAACAGGGGCUGAAUCUAAAGUUAUUAAUUUGUAUCCACGUUGCCUGUGCAUUAUCCUUCUUAUACCAUAUUAAACAAAUUUCAAAGUAAUUUUAAAUUUUUAAGCAAAACUAUUAUAUCCAUUCAUGGUGGUGUAUCAUCUUCCAUCUCUAAUCUAGAUCAGCAAAAAAUUUAAUAAGAUAACUUGAGAGUACUAGACAAUAUUAAAAACCAAUAGAAACCAUUGUACUAUCCCGACCUGUCUUGUCUUGUCUCGUCAUGUUCGAAAUUGCAGUGACCAACACCGUUAAAUAUGCAGCCAACAAGUUGAAUAAGUUUCAACCAAGUUUUAGUACAUUACACCUCCCAUUAUAGACUAGAUUCUAUAGUAUACGACCUUACAUCUCCGCAGCAAAUGAUUUACCACAGCCACAGGUUUGUGUAGCAUUUGGGUUCUUGAAAUUAAAGCCUCCCCCAAUCAGUGCAUCACUGUAAUCCAGUUGCAUACCAUAAAGGAAGAGAAGGCUUUUUGGAUCACAAACUGCAUGGUCAGAACAAAAGAAAAAGAUCAGCAGCAAAAUAGAAAAGACAAAAAGAGCAGCAGGGCAAAGAAAUAGCAUCUAAAGGUGAAAUUUCAUAUUGGUCAUCGAAUUUCACUGAACUUAAACUUGAUUAGAAUUUGAUCGACCAAUCUAUGUUUGUUAGUCAAAAAAGACGUGGCAGUUUUAGUUAUUUGCCAACUAGGCUGCCGGUCAGCUUUUUCUUAGUCAAACUAAUAGACAUAGGCAAGAUCGCCAAAUUGUAUCAAACAUUAAGUCCGGUCUGAUUGUAAAAAAGUUCAAGUUCAGCUACCAACUUGGAACAAAAUAAAGUUAAUGACGAACAUGAAAAUUUGCUAAAAGUUCAGUGCUCAGUGUAUAGUUUUAUACCUGUUGUGUGUAUUAGCUUUGCUGAUAAUGGAAAAACUUCAAUGAAGGCAUCUUGUGAUAUAGCAUAACAUGGAACGAACAAAAGAAAUUUCAAAGAAGUAUUUAUUAUGUCUUUAACUUCCAAAUACUAACUUCCUCAACAAGUAUACAGCACAUAGAAAUUUCAAGUAGGGACUCAAAUUCAAGGUUUUGAUUGCACCAUCGUUAUCAAAAAUAGUAAUGCUAGAGAAAAGAAAAAAAGAAUGAACUCUUUUACCAUAGCCAUUCUUCAUAAACGAUGAAGUAACAAUUGCACAAUAUGCAAUACUCUUCAUGCUGUUAGUAAUCUGAUGCUCAAAUGCUAUAUUUAUGUAUAGAUCUUAUCAAUCAAAAUGUAUCCUUUCAUUUGUUCUACAUGUUAAUGCCCAAUUCAAACAACUUUUGCUUCAAGAAAUUUGGAUUAGUUCAUUAAGAAGAUGGACUUGUUUCAAGCCCACAUUGUGAGUCAGAUGCUAUCCCCCAUUCCAAUAUCUGAUAAAUCAAACCUUUUAUACUACAAAUUAUAGAAGGCCAAUUUCUAGAGAAAACAAUAUCAGGUUCAGGUUUGCAUUUUAAAGGUAUUAUCCUCACUAAUCACCAAAUGCAGGAUAUUAGGGAAAGGAAAGGAUAACUCAUUUUCCAUGAUUAAACAUAAUAUCCUGUCACUGUACUGUAGGGCCAUAAGGAAAGAAUUCGUAUUUAUUUUUUUCAUCGACUGGAUGCCAUUGUUUACUGCCCAACUAACACCGACAGCAGGUUCCACUCAAGUACAGACAAGUGCAACAGGACAGAAGAAUUCAAUUUCAAAUUCCUCAUAUGGAAUUAAAUGAACUUGCAGUCAUACCUAUAACAAAUCCAUUGUAUUUGAUAAUAGAAUCAUCGGGUCUAGCGUUUUCUCUGUUCUCAAAAUCCAUAGUAUAAGACAUGCCAGAGCAUCCUCCUUGUUUGACACCAAUUCUUAGACAUAAAUCUUCACUUCUUUCAGUCCUCAACUUAUUGAAGUGCUUCAAUGCAUUGUCGGUCAAUGAAAUUGCAGGUACAAGUGCUCCAGAUGUAGGUGGUGCUAGAACACAAAAGCAGGUUAUUAAGAAACUCAAAAACAACAGAGAAAGGCAGAAUUCCAGCACAUUAGCAUACAGGUAACCAUAAGUUCGUCCAUGCAGAACUGAUAACAUGUAAACUAUGCAUAAACAAAUGGCUUAAAUAAGAGAACUAUACGAUAUUACAUUCAGUUCUCUGAUGGUUUUCAAUAAAUUCCAAGAAGUUUAGUUUCAUAAACAGCUUGAAUGUUCAUCAUGAAGUUUAGUUUCAUAAACAGCUUGAAUAUUCAUCUUUUCUAUGUUCUCUCACAAUUCAGAAAGUCAUUAGUAUGGUAGGUUCUUCAUUCUGAUGGUUCUUGUGGUUCAUGAGUCCUGGUGCAGCUCAAUAUAAAUUAUUUACCAUAUUUAAGAAGGUAUUAGGUAGAACACGUAUAGAAAGAAUCUAUAAUGUCUUAUAUGUCAACAUACGAACAAAAGGAUUGGAUGUAACUCAAUCAAACUGGUUUCUGGUUGUGCAUCAUUUAACUCUAGGCUUCAUCUUUUUGUCAUUUCAAUUAAGAUGGGAAACAUGACUUGUUUUUAAAAUCCAUUUGAGGUCAAAAAUAUCUUCCUCGUAGGUAAGAAAUUGAGUUGUCAACAUCCUUCAAGCAUACGAUGGAUAUGAUCUAGGUGAUGUGUGUUGACAGGUUUUGUUUGUUCAGAAAAUCCCUAAUGCAAAGAACCAAGAAUUUACAACCUUGUCACUUCCUCCAUAAAAAUGGAUAGUAGAUAGUUUACAAAAAAAUGCACAUAAGGUUUUGAAACACAAUUAAAUGAGAUAAACCAACCCGUAUACAACUGGUGAAAUUUGAUGGCAUUUUGAGAACAAUGUCUAAAGAUUAUGUAUGCCAAUCAUUAAAAAAAGGGUUAUUUGGGAUACAAUCAUUAUUUUUGUGUGUGUACGAGUGUAUUGGUGGGA
rnacentral:lncRNA from 1 species